rnacentral:rRNA from 1 species
GGAGUCUGGGCCGUGUCUCAGUCCCAAUGUGGCCGUUCAACCUCUCAGUCCGGCUACUGAUCGUCGGCUUGGUGAGCCGUUACCUCACCAACUACCUAAUCAGACGCGAGCUCAUCUUUCAGCGAUAAAUCUUUGAUAACAAGAUCAUGCGGUCUCGUUAUGUUAUGCGGUAUUAUCAGUCGUUUCCAACUGCUAUCCCCUCUGAAGGAACG